CAAUUUUUCUAAACACAUCCUAUUUCUUGUUGCUCUGGGAGUCACUGUCAAGUCCUAACUGGAGGUAAUUUGGAUUUUUGCAAAUAGAUGCUUGGACACAUCCUGUAGUCACAGAACACCAGUACUGAGCAACAAUGGCCAUGAGGGAUUCAAGGAUUAUGCGGUAAGUCUCUGCACCCUACAAUACACCAACUGGCAGUUCCAUCAUUUGAAAGAAAAUCUUCAAGGUAAAGACAUUUACAAUGACACAAAAACCUUUCAAAGGCAUCAUGGUCCUAAAGGGCUUUCCCCAAGGGACAGCACAGUGUGUUCCAGGCCCUGACAAGAGGUUUAAGACCUGUGACACAGACUGAAGCUCUCCUGGCAUACUCUGAAGCUCUCCUGGCACCCUCCCCUUUAUGCUUCACAGGUGUUUCUCCUAAUAAAUUUCUUGUAUGUCUCAUCCCAUCUGGGAAUCUGCUUCUCAGAAGACUCAAACUAACAUAUCUGCCCACUAUGUAUCAGGCACUGUGCUAGGUGCUGGAGACCUAAAAAUGGAUAAAACAGACAAGAGCCCUUCAUUCAUGGUGCUUGCAUCAUAGUGGGGGUAAAUAUUCCAUAAGCAAGAGAAUAAAUAGAUAAGAUAAAUUUAAAAACUAGAGAAUGACUUGUUAUAAAUUGAUUGGUAAUCAGGGAAGGUCUUCUGAGGAGAUGACACUUAAGCUGACACCUGAAUGAGAAGAAGGGGCUGGUCAACUGAAGACCUAGAUGAGAGUAUUGUAGGCAGAGGGAAGAGCAAGGACCACAGGUUGAGAAAGAAACUAGUUUGACAUAUUUGAUGGGGGAAAAGCCAGUUUGAAGAAUAAUAAAAAAGGGAAUGAAUGGAAUAAACAAGGACAUUAAAGAACUAGAGAGGAGCCUGAUCAUCACAGUAAGGCAUUUAGAAUAGGUUAGGGAGAAGACCAUUCUCUAUCAGGGUAGAACUGAAAAGGCUACGUCUGCUGCUAAAUGCUGCUAUAAAAAGACAAGGGCUUUCAUAUACUACAGAUGCAAUCUUUUGGAUCCACUUAUAUUGAGCAGACUUCGUGGACCCUCCUAAGAAAGUAGGCACCACAAAAAUAUUACAUCUAUACAAAAUGCAGGGCUCCAAGCCAUAGAUGUAUAUAUCACAUUGUGUGUGUGUGUGUGUGUGUGUGUGUGUGUGUGUGUGUGUGUGUGUGUGUCUGUAAAGCCAGCCAGUUUGUAAGCUGAACAUGACUCCCACAUGCUUUCAGAGAGAAGAGAAAAGAGAGAGGACCGUGUACUGGAAUAAGCCCUAAGAACUUCUUGGAAGAAGGGGAAGUUAGCUGAUCAAAAUUAUGUUGCUUUCUAGAAAAGAAGUAAAAAGCCAGGCAGUUUCUUUUGCUAGAACUGUCUGGGUAGAUUUCCAUUCUAAGAAAAUUACAACAAUGUAUAGUUUUAAAUAGCUAGAAGGAGAAUACUGAAUGUUCCCAACACAAAGAAGUGAUAAAUAUUUGAAAUGACGGAUAUAUUCAUAGUCCUUAUCUGAUUGCUAUACACAAUAUGUAUUGAAACAUCAUUAUGUACCCCAUGAAUAUGUGCAAUUAUUAUAAUUCAAUUUAAAAAAUAAAAUUAAACAAAGAAAGCAAGGGGUCAACAGCAUCCAUUGUAAAUGUGCUACCUCUCCACCUGUCUCAUUUAUGAAGUUGGGGGAGCUCCUGAACAGAUAACGAAGUGCAAUGAAAUUUGGAGAAGAAAUCUAGUACCUAGGUCUAGAGAGCAAAUGUGCAACUUCUUUGGAGAAUAUGUUUCAAAUAAAGCUUCAAGAGCUGUUCCUAGUAGCAUAUGGCUGUUGCUCUUGGUGUGGAGGUUCAUGGAGUAAUGUUUCUUGAUCAGAGGAUCUUGCAGGUUAUUGUUCACUUCUACUGCUGCCUCUACCCAAUGUAUAGUUUGAGUCCUAAGAGGCUUGGCCUUUUUACUUUGCCUUCCACCCCAAUAGGGACAGCACAGUGAGAAACAGAUCUACAAUGGCUCCGCAGACCUUUCCUUUGGAGAGAUGCUGGGCAGCUGCACACACUAAGAAAGUUUCCUGAAAUAGAAUUGCAUUAUCUGAGGCCUGGAAAAUGUGUUGGAAAAGCUCACUUAGCUAUGGGAAAGCCGAUGAAAGACCUGUCUGGUUUCUGAGCAUUGUCUGGGGAGCUCAAAUUCUAUAAAUGGGCCCCCAAGGUAUCCAUCAUUUAGCCCUUGCCAAGGCUGGGUCAACAUGCUGGCAAAGAACUGUCUGAACAUUGAAAAAUCCUCCAACCUAUUAUCUCCUGAGAGAAAGCUAGUUAUUUGAAAUACAAGUUGGAUUUUAAAAUUUCUAUCAGCAUGUUUUUAAAUUAAUCUUUUGUUAAUGUAAACAUACAGAAAAUUACAUGCAUUAUAAGUGAACAGAUCAAUGAAUUUUCAAAAAGUGAAUAUAACUUUAUAGCCACAUCAGAUCAAGAAACAGACAUUACCAGCACCCCAGGAGUCUUUCUACUAUUUCCUUCCUGAAUCCAGAAUAGGGUAACUACUAUUCUGGAUUGUAAUACAGAUAAGUUAACUUUGCCUGUUUUGUAUUUUAUGCAAAUAAAGUCAUACCAUAUACAGUACUGAUCUCAAGGAAGAAGCUUUUAGCAUUUUAAUAUUAAAUACAAUAACAUGUAAUUUUUUGGUAGAUUUUUAAAAUCGAAUUUAGAAAGUUCCCUUCUAUUUCUAGUUUGUUACAAAUUUUCAUCAUGAAUAUAUGUUGAAUUUUGUCAAAUGCUUUAUUUUAUUGAGAUAAUCUGC
rnacentral:lncRNA from 1 species